UUCAUUCCCAGAUUUACUUAAAUCAAAUUUACUGGGAUUUGGUGGGUGUUAUUUUCUACAAAAUAUUUCAACUAAUAAAGACAAGAUGAAAUUCGGUUGAAAUAAAUAAACAACACUCCCACGACCAAUAAGACAAAAUCCAGAUAAGCAACAUUUAUUUCUUCUACAUUUCGAGAGACUCACUUGCACGUGUGGGCUACGAUUUAGAUUACGGAAUUACCUAGAAAUAACAUAUAUAAAAGAAAUUGAAGGAUUCCCGAGAUCAAAUGAAGUCGAAUCAGCUAGUCAGUGCUUAACUAAUAUGUUUGUUAGCUUUACACAUCAAGAUAAGGUAACAUUUACAGAAAAUAGCAUGCGACUGAAGUCAAGAAAGGAUGUUGCAUCAGAAUAUCAUAAUUCCAAAAGGAAAGCACAUACAACCGAUGAUUCCAUAGACCCUUAGCCAAAUGAGAAUCAGCUACACAAUUUCACUUAGUUCCUCGCUGCAUAUGCCAGGAACCACACAACUGAAUAGAAUCAUGAAUCUUUAAGGACUCUUAACAUUUUGUUUAAGGUCAGCAGCUGUGUCGUGUCAUGACCUCACUGGCCUACUUCUAGAGACUUUUCUUACAAUCACAGCAUAUGAAGGAAAUUUCCUUUGUUCUCGUAUCAUUACCUAGUGCUCUCUGCUUUCCUGCAUUUCAUUUUCUAGAUGCUAAAUUACAAGUUUUUGUCUAGCUGCUAAGGUUGUCAACAUUUUACUUAAGUGUACUUAUGCACACAACCAUAAUCGUUUAAAUGCAAUCAGCAAAGUAUAUUUUGCGAUUCAAACAGAUACCAAAUAAUCAGCCCAUAGCAUAGAUAACCCGAAAUUGCAACUUCAAUAAACUAUCAUGGCUUGCUAGGAAUGAGUUUAGAUCACUUGGAACUAAUAGAUUUUCAGAUGCUUCUUAGAGUUCUUUAUGACCCGGUUCUCUUUCCAUUGUUUUCUCUUCCAUGAGCUUCACUUACACAUAAUUGUUAUGUUCUAAAUAGGGACUAACAGAAAUGCUAAAGCUUAAACUUUCGUCUCAUGUAUCGCCUUUCUCAUCAUGAACAAAGAUACUCAAUUUACCCAACAUGUCCCCAAACAUCAACUCACUUUUUCAUAUCUAGCACCUUCUCUCUUUUUGACUCACAAAUCAAAUUACAUAGUUCAAGUGCAUGAAUAUGCUCUAUAUCAUUACCAACCUCUCUACCGAAGAAGUCACAAACUACCUAAACCAACACAAUCAAAGUCACGCUUCCGGUUAAAGCACUCGAGAUAUAACCUCACUAAGCAAACAUAUAAGCAUAUAACUAUCCUAGGACCCAAGAACGAAGAAGAAAGUAUACUAAAAAACACGUAAUCCUCUCCAAACCGAUAUAUUAUUUGCAUACUGGACGACAAACAGAAACAAAUUUAGAUAUCUAUUUGAUUCAUAUUUUAACAGAAGGAAAAUGAGCCAAAAAUAUUUUUGCCCCAUUAUCAACAACAAAAAUCCCUAAAUUCAAUAUUACCAAAGCCCUUCAUUUCAAAAGGAGCAAGCAUUAGAAUGAGCAUUCAUGUUAAGCAAAAUCAUAAACUUCAAUAAACCAAAGGAUAAAUUCCUUUGCAACUUCAUCACAGCAGAAAGCUAAAAUGUCAAGAAAAACAAGAAUUAAUAAAUAAAUAAAUAGUAAAACUAGGGGUGAUAAAACAGUUCCGGUUAUUCGGUUAUAACCGAAACUGAACCGGAAAACCGGUUAAUUGGUUAACCGAUAACCGAAAGGUUCUAGGAAAAUCGGUUAUUCGGUUUAACCGGUCGGUUACCGGUUAAACCGAAUUAACCGGUUUAGCCAUACUAAUUAUUAAUAAAUUUAGUAUAACAACAAUAUAGCUCAACAACAAUUAAAUUAUAUACGCCAGAACCCCAAUUUUCCAAUUCGAUUCAUAUAUAGCACAACAACAGUAGAAACCCCAAUUUUUCCAAUUUGGGUACAAUCGUCGGAACCAGAUUCCAGAAUAUACAAACUCCAUUCAUAUAUGUAUUUUAUAUAGCUACGUAUCUAAUCAGAUCUGUAUAAUUUCAUACAAAAUCUCAACCCAGUCAAGCAAGAUUGUCUGAGUCGGCGAGAAGCAGAGCAUACCAGGUGAUAGCUGAGGCAGCUUUCGGCAGAGGCGGGGGCAGGGUGGGGCCGCAGGCCGAAGAUGGUAGUGGCUGAAGUUGCGACUCGACCUGGCUGUUCCAGUCGGCGACUGACGCAGCGUGGUGGUGGUACCGCGAGUGAAGGCGCGGUGGCCCGGUGGGAGAGGGAGCGGAGUCGAGGUGCGGCGGCGCUCAGCUCAGGUCGGAAGAGGCGCGGUGACCCGGUGGGAGAGAGAGCGGAGUGGAUGCGCCGAAGAGGAGGCAGGCAUGGUGUGUAUCUGUAAUUCGUGCAAAGUGAAAAGUUGAAAACCCAGCCCUCUUUUUAAUAAACCGGUUCGGACCGGUUAAUCGGUUAACCGAAUCAAAAACCGGUUCGAUUUUCGGUUAGCUAUCUCAGAGUUAAUCGAUUCCGGUUAAUCGAAAAAUCGAUUCGGUUAUAACCGAACUGAACCAAUUACCACCCCUAAGUAAAACAGACAUGCAAUGUAUCGUCUGUUUUGUAGUAAUGCGUGA
rnacentral:lncRNA from 1 species